rnacentral:rRNA from 1 species
UUGAACGCUGGCGGCAGGCCUAACACAUGCAAGUCGAGCGCGAAAGUUCUUCGGAAUGAGUAAAGCGGCGGACGGGUGAGUAACGCGUGGGAAUCUGCCCAGUAGUGGGGGACAACAGUCGGAAACGACUGCUAACACCGCAUACGCCCUACGGGGGAAAGGGGGGGAUCUUCGGACCUCUCGCCAUUGGAUGAGCCCGCGGCGGAUUAGCUAGUUGGUGGGGUAAAGGCCUACCCAGGCGACGAUCCGUAACUGGUCUGAGAGGAUGACCAGUCCCACUGGAACUGAGAAACCGUCCAGACUCCUACGGGCUGACGCAGUGGGGAAUAUUGGAAAAUGGGCGCAAGCCUGAUCCAGCCAUGCCGCGUGUGUGAAGAAGGCCCUAGGGUUGUAAAGCACUUUCAGUGGGGAGAAAGGUUUGCCACCUAAUACGUGGUGAAAUUGAUGUUACCCACAGAAGAAGCACCGGCUAACUCCGUGCCAGCCGCCGCAGUAA